AUGUGCCAAAGGAGGUGUGUGCUCAGAGAGCCUGGCAUGAGGUGGGGCAGGACGGGAGCAGGAAAGGAGGUUUCUGUGUGCAGGAACGGGGGCAGGAUCUGCGUGGUGAGCGGCUCCCUGAGCCCACGUGGGCUGGGGCUUGAGGCAGAAGAGGAAAAAGGGGAGACCUCAGUGGCUGCACCUGGGCAGGUCACCUUGGCUGCUUUGUGGCUGGCAGGGAGAAAUUCACUCUUGUGGGAUGCUGCUGGCUUGGGCAGAUCUUUAGAAGAAGAGCUGCUACCCCUAGGAGCAGCUGCUCUCCUCCACCAACUACAAACACCAGGGCAAUUUGUCUUUUCUAGUGGAAAAGGCUUUUCAGGUUCAGCUUGGAAGAAGAACCAGAAACAUCCAAGAGCAGUGCACGGUGUGGAUUUGAGGUGUAGAUGUGGAUGUUCAGCACUUUCUCCUGCCUAAAGGCAAGCCUGGCACGUGAACAGGGCUGUUUCCAUCCCAGAGCGGUGCCUGCCUUACCUUCUGUCUCAUUUUCUUCCACUUUUAAGUGUGAAAAAAACUGUUUCCAUUCCAAAAGUACUGAAAUUGUGACCAUUUGCUGCAGCCUGUGAAGCUCAGUUUGGGGCUGGUGGCUGAGCGGACUUGUCCCAGCCACUGAGACCUUUGAGGUGCCCCUUGCUGCAGACCCCACAGGGUACAGGAGGGAAAGUCACGUUGGCCUGGCUUGUGUGGGUCGGGAUGUGUCUGAGAACCUGGUGUCUGUCCUUUAUUUCCCUCAGUAUUCGAAGUUUUUCUCUUUCCCCAUCAGCUGUGGGCAGAUGCAGAUGCUGGGCACUGAGCUUGGCACCCUGGGGCAUGGCAGUGGGGUUCUGCACCUCCACGGCAGAGGUAAUUUGCACCCAGGUCUGUUAAUUAGAGCUGGCAGGGAUUUCUCCACCUGAGCUUCUUCUGUUAUUACAGAAAAGCCCCUUUCUGCAAAAAUUACACUUUUCUUGCUCUGUUUUUCUUUUUCAGUAUAUAUACAUAAAACAACGGGGUUUAGUUUAAAUCUAAUAAAAAUGUUUUCAAUGGAUUUUUUCAACAUCACUGUGCUGUAUUGAUCCUCCCCCUCUACUCUGCCCUGGUCAGGCCUCCCCUGGAGUGCUGUGUCCAGUUCUGGGCUCCCCAGUACAAGAAAGACAGGGAAAGAGACCAGCAGAGGGCCACAAAGAUGAUACGGGGCCUGGAGCAGCUUCCCUGUGAGGAAAGGCUGAGAGACCUGGGGCUGGUCAGCCUGGAGAAGAGAAGGCUGAGAGGGGAUCUCCUCAGUGUGUAUAAAUACCUGAGGUGUGGGGGACAGAGGGAUUGGGCUGACUUCUUUUUGUUGGUUUGGUUUUUGUUGGACAGGACAAGGGGCAGUGGCCACAAGAUGGAGCCCAGGCAGUUCCGCACCAACAUGCAAAGAAUUUCUUCACAGUGAGGGUGACGGAGCACUGGGACAGGCUGCCCAGGGAGGCUGUGGGGUCUUCUCUGGAGAUAUUCAAGGCCUGUCUGGACGCCAUCCUGGGCAGCCUGCUCUGAGGAACCUGCUUUGGCAGGGGGGCUGGACCCGAUGAGCUCUGGAGGCCCCUUCCACCCCCUUCAAUUCUGUGGUUCUGUGUUGCAGGUGUGAGCAGGAGUUUAAUCUUCUGUGAGGUGAGUGAUGCAACCCAACCACAUUUCCCAUGACGUGCGGGGUGGAGGCGGAUUGGGCUCCCCCAGGUGAUUCAGCGCAGAGCUCACCCUCUGCUGGCUCCCCCGGGUCGCAGAGGAGCCACGAGAGAUUAGUCAGGUCAUGUAGCAAGGCAAAUUACACGUCUGCGCUCAGACAGUGUCAUGUCCCCAGCCCAGCUCUUCUGCUGGAGGUUUUGGUGCGUCAUGAGAGGCACCAGGCCCUGAGGACAGCGUGGCACAGGUGGCCAGGGCUGGAGCUGGCCCUUUUCUACGGGGUCACUCCUUGCGACAGAAACUGGGGAACAAAUGGUCAAAUCAAAACCUGAUGACUACUAAAACACUUCAGUUUCUGCUAAAAUUAUUUUAUUUUUAUUUUAUUUUAUUUUAUUUUAUUUUAUUUUAUUUUAUUUUAUUUUAUUUUAUUUUAUUUUAUUUUAUUUUAUUUUAUAUAUUUUUAUUUUAUAUAUUUUAUAUAUUUUAUUUUCACAGAAUCACAGAAUUACUAGGUUGGAAGAGACCUCAAGAUCAUCGAGUCCAACCUCUAACCUAACACAAACAGUCCCCACUAAACCAUAUCC
ensembl:lncRNA